rnacentral:pre_miRNA from 1 species
UAUAAUAUUUUGACUAUAUGUUUUGUUAGAAAUUUUUUUACGAUUAAUAUUUUUAUUGUUAUUAGAUGAUAAAAUAUAAAUAGUAUUUUAUGGGUGACUAAUUUUUUAAAUUUUUUUAUAAAUUUUUCAAAUAAGACGAAUGGUUAAACGUUGGACAUGGAAA